rnacentral:rRNA from 1 species
CCUACGUGAGGCAGCAGUAGGGAAUCUUCCACAAUGGGCGAAAGCCUGAUGGAGCAACGCCGCGUGUGUGAUGAAGGGUUUCGGCUCGUAAAACACUGUUGUAAGAGAAGAAUGACAUUGAGAGUAACUGUUCAAUGUGUGACGGUAUCUUCACAGAAAGGAACGGCUAAAUACGUGCCAGCAGCCGCGGUAAUACGUAUGUUCCAAGCGUUAUCCGGAUUUAUUGGGCGUAAAGCGAGCGCAGACGGUUAUUUAAGUCUGAAGUGAAAGCCCUCAGAUCAACUGAGGAAUUGCUUUGGAAACUGGAUGACUUGAGUGCAGUAGAGGAAAGUGGAACUCCAUGUGUAGCGGUGAAAUGCGUAGAUAUAUGGAAGAACACCAGUGGCGAAGGCGGCUUUCUGGACUGUAACUGACGUUGAGGCUCGAAAGUGUGGGUAGCAAACAGGAUUAGAUACCCGUGUAGUC